GGGUGUGAGGGCGAUCUGGCUGCGACAUCUGUCACCCCAUGGAUCGCUGGAUUGAUUCGGCUGAUCUGGCUGGCUAGGCGGGUGUCCCCUUCCUCCCUCACCACUCCUUGUGCUUCCCUCCCGAAGCUGCAUGCACUGGGUGGAAGAGGACAACCAUCUCCAAUAGAGUUCAGUCAAGGGUAUAUGAGUAGCUGCGCAUCCCUUCUAGAACCUCCAAACAAGCUCACAAGAAAAGAAUAUAGAACUGGAAGUCACAGAGCAUGAAUUCUAGACUUUGUUCUGUCCCUUGGAAAGUUACUUUUAACU
rnacentral:snRNA from 1 species